AACGAACGCUGGCGGCAUGCCUAACACAUGCAAGUCGAACGACACCUCCGUAUCUACUUGCGCACGGGUGCGUAACGCGUGGGAACGUGCCCUUAUGUUCCGAAUAACUCCCCUUAAUGGGUGCUAAUACCGGAAAAUUUCUGCUGAUAAAAGAUAUAUCGUCUUUGGAGAGGCCCGCGUUGGUUUAGCUUGUUGGUAGGGUAAAAGCCUACCAAGGAGAAGAUCCAUAGCUGGGUGGAGAGGAUGAUCAGCCACACUGCGACUGGGACCAGGCCCAGACUCCGACGGAAGGGAGCAGUGGGGAAGAAUGGACAAUGGGCGAGAGCAGAAUGCAGCCAGGCCGUGAGGGUGAUGAAGGGCUUAGGAUAGUAAAGAUCUUUUACCCGGGAUGAUAAGGACGGAACCGGAGGAAUAGGCCCCGGCAAACUCGGG
rnacentral:rRNA from 1 species